rnacentral:ncRNA from 1 species
UCAUGUUUAAAAUUAACCAAACUUGUAGGAUAUAUAAGGCAGUACUGAGAGGCUCUGAUUUAGCAAAGAGUCUGUCACUAUUCUAAGAAAAGUAAUCUAGCAAUGGUCUUGCCAAAGGUAUUUCUCUGAAAAUAGCAGAAAGAUAUUAAGCCUACACAUCAGUGGCUAGAAUUAGUGUGUAGCAAGGUCCAGUCAGCAAGUAUUUAUUAAGCACCUACUAGGUACCAGAUUUCCCAUCCCUUUGUGGUCGCCAUAGUGACCGUGGGUGACAAGGAAUCAGGGUUUGAUUCUGGAGAGGGAUCCUAAGAAAUGGCUACCACAUCCAAGGAAGGUAGCAGGCAUGCAAAUUACCCACUCCUGACCCAGGGAAGUAGUGAUGAAAAAUAACAAUACAGGACUCUUUCAAGGUCCUGUAAUUGGAAUAAGUACUCUUUAAAUCCUUUAACAAGGAGUCCCAGGCAUGUGCUCAUUUA